CCUACGGGGGGCUGCAGUGAGGAAUAUUGGUCAAUGGCCGGAAGGCUGAACCAGCCAAGCCGCGUGAAGGACGAAGGUGCCAAGCAUUGUAAACUUCUUUUGUCAAGGGACAAAAUCAGGCUCGAGAGCCUGACCGAGGGUACUUGAAGAAAAAGCAUCGGCUAACUCCGUGCCAGCAGCCGCGGUAAUACAGAGGAUGCGAGCGUUAUCCGGAUUUAUGGGGUUUAAAGGGUGCGUAGGCGGGCUGUUAAGUCAGCGGUAAAAGCCCGGGGCUCAACCCCGGCGAGCCGUUGAAACUGGCUGUCUUGAGAUGUCGAGAGGUAUGCGGAAUGCGCAGUGUAGCGGUGAAAUGCUUAGAUAUUGCGCAGAACUCCGAUUGCGAAGGCAGCAUACCGGCGGCGAUCUGACGCUGAGGCACGAAAGCGUGGGUAUCGAACAGGAUUAGAUACCCUUGUAGUC
rnacentral:rRNA from 1 species